UUUCUUUCAAGGCGGAUAUGUUGCUCCUUGAUUUUCUACCCAUCAAGAGAUAUCGUACCAAGAACUUGGAAAUAAUGAUUUAUGAUUUUGUGGCCUGUGGCCCAAAAGAGAUAAGAAUGGUGAUGAUAUGAUGCGAUGACCCAUACAAAUUUUGCGAAAGUAUGUGAUUUGGUUUUAUUGAUACCUACAUCAUAAACAAAUGAAACCAAUGACGUCACUAUUAUGCCACCUGAGAAAGCCACAUAGAAAUAGGUGCAACUAGCUAUUCUUGAUAAGAAACUAUACAGACAAUAUCCAAGACUAUGUAAAUUCCCUCUAAUGUUUACAACCCAAACGCCCUAGAACCCACGACUAUUGCAAUUUAGAAAUUAUAAUCUUAAAUAUUGCGAUUAAGAUGGAUUCAAAGAUUUUUUUCCCUUCGAGUUCUUACUUGGCAAUAAAAAAGUUUCGAAAAAACUA